rnacentral:rRNA from 1 species
CCUACGGGCGGCAGCAGUAGGGAAUCUUCCACAAUGGGCGAAAGCCUGAUGGAGCAACGCCGCGUGGGUGAAGAAGGUCUUCGGAUCGUAAAACCCUGUUGUUAGAGAAGAAAGUGCGUGAGAGUAACUGUUCACGUUUCGACGGUAUCUAACCAGAAAGCCACGGCUAACUACGUGCCAGCAGCCGCGGUAAGACGUAGGUGGCAAGCGUUAUCCGGAUUUAUUGGGCGUAAAGGGAACGCAGGCGGUCUUUUAAGUCUGAUGUGAAAGCCUUCGGCUUAACCGGAGUAGUGCAUUGGAAACUGGGAGACUGGAGUGCAGAAGAGGAGAGUGGAACUCCAUGGGUAGCGGUGAAAUGCGUAGAUAUAUGGAAGAACACCAGUGGCGAAAGCGGCUCUCUGGUCUGUAACUGACGCUGAGGUUCGAAAGCGUGGGUAGCAAACAGGAUUAGAUACCCGUGUAGUC